CAUCUCUCAGGGUCUCACCUGGAGAGUUUCUAGUAUUCUACCAGUCUCGACUAUGGGAGGGAGAUUCGGGCAGAGGCAUAUCCAUUCCAUUCCUAGCUUGGGCAGUAGCUAGUGAGUGGAAGGCAAUCUGCCACAUUU